CCCAGAUAUGUCCAGUGGUGAACCCCAGUUUUUUAACAUACUCAAGGUAACCUAUGAGGAUCUCGUGAUACACGCCUGUCCUCAGUUGACGCGGCUGGAAAAAGUGCACACUGUCCAGAUAGGAUAUAUACACACGUCUGCAUGAAAAGCAAAGAGAAAGGAGGGAAAGCAGGAUCGCACCUGGACUUCAUGCCUGGCUUCACCUCCACCAUUUUGUCUGAGACGUGCACCACCCGGAUGGUGACAUCGCCACUUUCCGGAUGGUUCUGCCGCUUCAGGAACUCAUUCACCCGUGUCUCCAGGAAGUUACCCAGUUUCGUCUGAGGAAGCCCUGAGAGCGAGAGAGGAAGAAAAAGUGGAUAACGUUUGCUGUUAGCACGGUGACAGCAACAUGGCUGUGUAGAGUCUGAGGGUAUCAACACAAAAGUCAUUUACCAUCCUGAACUUCAAAAAUAUCAGGGAUACUUCCACAAAUCAGAGUAUGUGGACAAUUAUCAGCAUUCAGCUUACUUACGCCAGUGAGCAUUCAGAUUAAGCAAAAAGGAGACUAUUCCAGCAUGUGGUAGCAGUCACUAGGUUGUAGUAACUGCUAGUUAGUUAUAACUACAUUUCCAUGGUCUAACACAAUGCUCAAUGAAAAUGUUUCAGAUUUACAUAGGUUAUUACAAAUGGCUGCAUCUACCCCUGUAAAGACCAAUUAUUUUGUGUUCAAAUGUUUUGUAUCUUCAACUGGCAAAAGAAAGGGACUCCAAAAGCUCUUUAUUAAACCAUAAAACUAUGUUAAGUCUUCUCUUUUAACCUUCGCCCUUUUUGGCUCUCCUCCCUCUUAAGCCAGAAGAAAAUGAAAAACCAUCCACUUACUUUUGGCUGUGUAUUUAUUCUCCUUUCUCGUCUUUUUGGAUAUCUUCAGACAGCCGUCGCACACAAAGCUGAACAGAGAUGGAAGGAGGAGGUGAAAAAAAUCUCUUAGCAUACUGGCCUCACAGCUAGCUGUUGUUUAUUGCUGAUUUGUUAAAUUCUCUUUGGAAAAUUGGAGGCUCAAAAGUCAGACAAAAUCCAGCUCACCCCAAUGGCCAUAUUGUCUCGUUGUGCAGAACACAGAUUUGAUGCAUUUUACGGCCACAUUCGGUACAUUCCACAAAUCUGCAGGAGAGAGGGGAAAUAUGUCAAUAGGAGAAAAUGAAUGAAUAGAGAAUGAAUAAAGAAAUGAAAGAACUGAUUAGCAAAAGAAAAAAAUGAAUGUAUAUUUUAAAAUCAAUUCCAUUAAAUAUGUCACAAAUUUCAGCUGUUAAUUCCUUAAACAGUCAAUCUGCAAGAUCAGGCUGUUAUUUAACGGAGCAAUAAGUGAACAUACAGCUCAGGGUCGAGUGUAUCAUUCCUCUUCUUCUGAAACUGGUUUUUGUUGAUGGAUCUGUAAAAAACCAAAGGGUAGAGGGAGGUUCAUGGAAUGAUGUGAUGAAGUUUGUUAACUGUGUUCAACCUAUUCCUUAACAACAAUUUAACUACCUAUGUACCACUACUUUAUACAGGUCAACACCUUGACAGGCAUCCAUCAUGUACCUUGUUCUCAGAACCACUAAUUUAGCCCUGUAGAAAAUAAGUUAUUUGAUUUUUUAACAGGUAUUUCUUGUAUUUUCUAUUAUUAUACAUUUUAAUUUGCCUGAUCAUCUAUUGGCUUGUUAUUUUGUCACUACUUUUUUGCCAAGUUUAGAACAAGAAUCAAGUCCUACAUGUCUUAAUAUAAUUAAAUACAUAGUCAUAAAAUAAACAAAAUAAGGCUGUCACUAUUGAUCAGAUUAGUAAUUGAGUGAUUACUCAAGUACUCUAACAAGAAAGAGUUAACAAAAGAUGAAGCAAUAAAAAAAGUGAAUGGAACAAAUCAUGCAUAGCUUUUCAAAGUUAUCAAAAUACUUUACUGAAAA